GGGGAUAUAGCUCAGUUGGGAGAGCGUCGCACUUGCACUGCGAAGGUCAGCGGUUCGACUCCGCUUAUCUCCA
rfam:Ilyobacter polytropus DSM 2926, complete genome.